rnacentral:tRNA from 2 species
GGGCCCAUAGCUCAGGUGGUCAGAGCGCACGCCUGAUAAGCGUGAGGUCCGUGGUUCGAAUCCACGUGGGCCCACCA